AGUGGCACAGAGAGGGUGAGCAGGGGCAGAGUGGCACAGAGAGGGUGAGCAGGGGGCAGAGUGGCACAGAGAGGGUGAGCAGGGAGCGUUUCAGUGUUUUUCUCUGGGCAGGCUGAUGGUGCCUUUCUCUGGGCCUAAAAUUCCUAAAAGUUUGGUAUUUGAUUUUUUAAAAGUUCUUCCUAGUUUCUGACCCCCACACACCCACCCCCUCCAGUCCCUGGGCCCCAGUUCCUGAGACUGUGUCAGAUCCCAGCCUCUUGCCUCUGCCCAUCGGGCCCAGCCCGGGAUGCCCUGCUGUCCUGCUGUCCUUGACGUGGCGUUGCGGGGCAGGUCUGUUCCAGGAGAAGCCCCACAGCCUGCAGAACAACAUCCGGACGUCCCUGGAGAAGAAGAGGCGAGGCUCGGGGGUUCCCUGGGCCAGCCGGCCUGAGGCCACCCUGCAGGAUUUCCUGGGCACCGUGUACCUCUCUAAAGUGAAGAGUCAAGGCCACCCCGCUGUCUACAGGCUCUCCCUCAAUGCCAGCCUGCCUGCUCCUUGGCAGGCUGUGUCACCUGGGGAUGGAGAGGUGCCCUCCUUCCAGGUGAGCCUGGGCUAUCGUGAAGCGAGCCACCACCACUGGGGGCGGGGGGGCCCUCAGGGCCACACUGGUGGGCACUGGCCACAUAGGGAGAAGCAGCUUUGAGGAUGAAGACCCCCCUGCCCCAAACCAGCCUUGUCUGUGACAGGAACCUGCCAAGUGGUGGCAGCAUGGGCUUCUGAGUCAGCCAGGCCUGGAUUCAAAUCGUGGCUCUGCCAUUUAUUAACUGUGUGUCUUUGGGCAGAUUGCUUACUCUCUGAGCCUCAGUUUCUUCAUCCGUGACAUGGGGAUGUGACAAGCACCAGCCAGCAUUGUUGGAGGUGUGUGAGGUGAGGCCUGUGCAGUGCAGUGAGGCCUGGGUACAGUCCCUCCUCGGGCAGUGGCGGCCAGGAAUCUUGCUGUCCUUGGUAGCUGCUCCAGCACCGC
rnacentral:lncRNA from 1 species